ensembl:lncRNA
GUUGCCUCCGCCAAAAGGAGGAGAGAAGUAGGAAGCUUGUCUGGCAUGCUGCGCACGCCCAGGCGCAUAGAGCCCUUCCCUCCCAGCGGGCCCCACUUGGCUGCCCCUCAGCAUCACCUGACGCUGCACCCGGGUCUGAAGCACCGCAUUCAUCACUUCCUGCACGCGCACACCCGGCCUGAUCCCCCGCUCUUACCAACGCCAGACACUGAUGAGACGCUUGACAGAAACCUCUAGGCCCACCUGGCUUCCCCGGUCGCAAUCCCAGGAGACAAACAGGGUCCGCGUUUACCCCCACGCUGGCAGGGCCUUCCUGCCCCAUCCUGAAGGCCUGGUGCACUGUCAAGGUCUGCAGACGCUGUCUUGUCAGAUCCCAGGGCACGGUGCGCGGGUAGAGUCCUGCUCCGGGGGACAGGCUGUGGACCCUGACCAGAUGACUUAACCCCUCAAACCUUCAGUUUCCUCUUCCUGGAGUGGUCAUCAAAACUGUGCACAAGUGUCCCCAGCCCCUUCCCUGCCUUGCAGUCCCAGCCUGCAGCAGAGGUGAGAUGUGCUUAUUCCACAGGGCGCAAGCUGUCGCAUCCUUUUUCCCACCUCGACUCCCGUGAUGGUGCAGCCGAGAGGAGCCAGACGGGGAGGGGGGGGGGGGGGGCUGGUGCCGCACGGCUUGUUUGCUGCCAGUGUUACUCCCAAGUGCUGCGAAGUGUGCCGAGUGGACAGCCCCUGCCCGUGCUGCCUGCCUUAGGACAAAGCCCUGCUGAAGGGAGCUGUCCGGAUGCUUCUUGGGAAGGUUCAGUACUGGCCUGAGGUCACCCAGCUUGUCAGCAGCGGUCCCAGCACUGAAACUCCACCUGUGCGGUUCCGAGGCCUCUGCUCCCUCACCUUCCCUGGGAAGUCGUCCUUCCCAGGCCGGGAGCCCCUCUGCAGCCUGCUGUGGCAGACCACACUCAGAAUUCUGGGCAAUCACAAGCGAGUCGUCAGGCUGCUUGGCUGCGCUCGGAUUCCUGGUUUGGUGCUGGAUACAGAUGGUAAAACAUCUGCGUCUAGGAACCUGACCUCCACACUGCCCUGUGCCUUGUAUUUACGUGAGGCUCAUCACAUGUCCUUUACUGUACAUGCUGUUUUCCAAGCAGGAAAGAGGGGAUGUUUGAUUUCUGGAGAAAUCUUUGUUCGGAAAAACACUGUAAUACCACUUGUCAUUUAUCUCAUAUUUAUCAUACGAAGUGACACCUUGCUUGUUGAAUGGCUCCCAGCUCGAACUUUUCUGGUACUUGAACAGCAAAGUUCGAAAAAAGCCUGCUGGGUGUUCAGGACUUUGCUCUGUAGUUGAAACGAAAAUCCGACUUGAGAAAACCUGCAGGGGCUGAGAGUGAGUCACAGGUUGCGUCUCGCCACAGAGGGGAGAUGCCUCAGUGCGAGUGACGCUCUCGCUCAGAUGCACACAGGGCUUGUGUCGGGGUGUUAAGACAUUCCACACUCGGCUUUUUUGUGUGUGUGCUUUAUUUGGGUAGAAUAUCGUAACCCUGGCUCCAAGGAAAGUUAUGAUACCAGCGGUAAAGCUAAGAGGAAAACUGUGGGAACCACGAUAGAGUUAAAGAAAGAAAUCACUGCGAAACUUGUUAAAGUCCUGGAAAAAUGAAUUUAUAAGUGUAACUGUUGGGCCUCAGAACCAAUUAUUUGGUUUUCCAUUAUUUCUUAUGGGAAAAAUAUGUCUGGUUCUUGAACUUGUCGGUGUUUGAACAUGAAUUUGGAAGGAACUGAGUUUGACAACCAAAGUACCAUUGUGUAUACUUUAUACACACUUUAUAUAGUUAAAGAGGUGGUACAUGUAUACAUACCACCUCUAAUCAGCGUAAAAUUCAUUUCACUGGUAAGAACGCUGAGUCUCAAAAAGGUCACAUUGCCUGUCCAAAAGGAAACAGCCUUUGCCAGGAUUUGAACCCAUGACUGAGCUCAAGGCUCUGCUCUGACCUCUCCCACGCUGCUUGGCCCCGGCACUCAAAUUAAUUCACACCUGCGCCUUGCUAGAUGCUGCUGUCCCUUGCCCUGGUGAGGUGAGGUUUGGAAAGUGACCUGAGAUUGUGACCGUGCUAAUGUGAGCGAGUUGCCUGGUGAAAAAUGUGUGUUGAACGACCAUCUUCCUGCCCAUAUGGAGGAGGCUGCCUGUCCCCAGAAAUCCACGUGCCUCCGUGCAGAGGGGGCUGACAGACAGCAGCCCCAGUGGGCACACAUCCCGGCCUCCCUUGACAGAGUGGGCCAUAGGAUAGUGGGCCAGAGCACAGUGUGGUUUGUCGCUUGCAGGGGGACAGUUCAGAGAGUAAAUAGGAGAUUGGACUCCAAGGCCCCAGGAUGGUGAGGCCACGGAUGAAAUGACACCACUCUUUGACGAGGACAUCAGACUGGCUCAUGAGAGAGAAACAGACUAUUGUGUUAAGUCCGUGAAGCUAGACGGUUCAUGCAGCUAGCGCUGCCCUAAUACAUGCUAUUUACGCAAGCAUGUGUUGAUACAUAAAAUGCAAAGUGGAAGACUAAAACUACCAUG